rnacentral:tRNA from 1 species
GCGAGAGUGGCGGAAUUGGCAGACGCGCCAGAUUUAGGUUCUGGUAUCUUAGGAUGUGGGAGUUCAACUCUCCCCUCUCGUACCA